rnacentral:rRNA from 1 species
AAUAGGCUAAUUAAGAGCGUAAGGGGAAUGCCUUGGCUCUCAGAGGCGAUGAAGGACGUGAUAAGCUGCGAUAAGCUGUGGGGAGUGGCACAAACACUUUGAUCCGCAGAUUUCCGAAUGGGGUAACCCGGCAUAUUGAAGAUAUGUCACACUGUAAAGUGAGCGAACCUGGUGAACUGAAACAUCUAAGUAACCAGAGGAAUAGAAAACAAAAGUGAUUCCGCUAGUAGUGGCGAGCGAACGUGGAAUAGCCUAAACCUAUGUUGUUAAGGCAAUAUAGGGGUUGUAGGACCUCAACAUUUAAUGCUAAUAGGACUAGAAUUUACUGGAAAGUAAAACCAUA